rnacentral:lncRNA from 1 species
AGAUUUAGACAGAGCGAAGAUUAUGCGAAGAAAGAAGGAAAAGGCGGCUGUCUCCAAGACAAAGAGAGAGGCCUCACGGGACGCCAACCCUGCUGACACCUUGAGCUUGGACUUCCAGCCUCCAGAACUGUGAGACAGUAAAUUUCUGUUGUUUAAGCCCCCUAGUCUGUGGUACUUUGUCAUGGCAGACCUAGCAUGCUAAUAUACCCCUCAAACUAGCCACAGCCCAAAGGGGAAUUUGUUUGAUGGAUCAUACACUGCAGGAACAACUGAGGUGCAGCUGGGCCACGUGAAACAACUGGAAUCAGGGAUUUGAAAGCCACUAGGAGCUCACCUCUAUCUUCCAUCUCUGCUUCUCUGACUUUGUCCUCCCAGAACCAGCUUCCUGUACAUGGCAGGGAAUGGCUCCCCCAUUUGCAACUUAAAGCUUCAUCACCUAGGAGGGACUGGCCUUUUGUCCCACUGCUAGUUUACAAAAUCCUAAAGAAGGAUUUUGAUUGGCUGGCCUACGUCAUUGCCCAGCCCAAGACCAAUAAUAGACACAGCAGCUAAUUUGUUCAGCAACUACUCUGUGCAAAGCACUCCAUUCAUUCUACUAAAUAAUUUGCUAAACAUGUGGGGUUAUUAUCAUUAUGAUUACACCUUUACAGAUGAGGAAGCUGAGUCAUGAAGUAGUCAGGGAACUUGUCCCAGGGCACACAGGGUGUGAGCAAUGUCCCUGAGUCCAAUGUGGGGUGGCCAAUGAGUGCAGCUAGCAGGUCCUGUUUUUUGUUUUUUGUUUUGUUUGUUUGUUGUUGUUUUUUGUUUAUUUAUUUAUUUAUUUAUUUUGAGACAGGGUCUCCUUCUGUCUCAUCCAGGCUGGAGAGCAGUGGUGCAAUCAUGGUUCAACCUCCCAGGCUCAAGUGAUCCUCCCACCUCAGUGUCCUGAGUAGCUGGGACUAUAGGCGCAUGCCACCACACCUGCUAAUUUUUUGUAUUUUUAGUAGAGAUGGAGUUCACCACAUUGCCCAGACUGGUCUUGAACUUCUGGGCUCAAGGGAUCCUCCCACCUUGGCCUGCCCAGCCUAGCAAGUCCUUUCUAAACCAAUGAGUCAGUGCCAGUCUCCCAUAGUCCCUGUAAAUCUUGCCACACCCUUCAAGUAUCAUCCACUAUGCAGCCACCUUGCUGGACAAAGGGUGCCCUCUGAGAUCCUGAGAAAAGGCCACAAUGACUUCUGGCUGGCAACUCCAUCAUGCCUUUUAUUCAAAGGCUGCAGUGGCUAAUACAAAGAGAGGCCAGCAGGGUAGUAAACAAUCCCUAAAUUGAGAGCCUGGGAACUCAGAGAGCCUGACCAGCAUCUUGCCCUAAGCAGUCCUGCCCUGUGCUCCAACCUAAUGGGAUCUCUGAAUUCUCCUUGGGCUUUCCAGGCAGCAGAGGAACUUGGCAGGCAGUCUGUAGGGACCAAGAGUAAUUUGAUGAGAGGACUGUCUGUAUCUCUCACAGACUGGCAGCCUAGGCACCUGGAACAGCGGGAAGCAGGAAUCCACUUCUGGUCCUGUGUACAUCACUCUCAUUGCACACUGGCUUCUUCUAAAUGGAGGUGAACAUGGCUCUCAGCAGCCCCCCUGCCUCACAUUUCACAGCUUCACCAACAAGGAGGAACUAUGUCUUGUACUCUAAUUCCAGUUCAAAAGAUCCCAGGGAACACUCUGAUUGGCCCAACUGAAGCCAAUCAACAGUGGCCAAGAGGAAGUGAUCCUGUGAUUAACUUCCAUAACACAUAGUUGGAGAUCUAAAUAGACAAAAUAUUAAUUGUCUAUUGCAGCUUAGCAUAAUUUUAAUGCAAGAAAUUUUUUUUUCUUCUCCAAAAGAUGCUGAAGUUCUCCUUCUGGCUUUAGGUCAUUUUAGUUUUGUUUAACAAGCAACUAUUGUGAAUCUGCUCUGGGGUGAGAGGUGGAGGAACCAAGAAGAGUAGGACAAAGUCCUUCCUUUCAAAAACCCACAUCACAGUCAAAUAGGGGAGACAGCUACAUAAGUAGCUCAUUGCAAAGUCCUGUGAUAAGUGCUAUGAAAGCAUAGCUGGAGAGGAACCACCUAACCAAGUCUGGGUCACAGACAAGAUUUCCUGUAAGAACUGAUUUUGGACAGUCUUGAAAGUUGAGUUAGAAGGGGAAGGGCCUUCCAAACAGAAGUGUAAAAUCCAAAUGAUUACAGGGGCAUGGUUCUCACAAUUAAUCAAUUGACUGUAAACCCCUCCAUGGGAGAGGUCAGGUCUUUAUGAUAAAGAUACAAAUACUUUACUUUUUUUUUUUUUAGCAUUUUAUCAUUUUCAGAACACUUAUCUAACAGAAACAGUACCACAAAUAGGGAAAUAAGAACAAAACAAACUUCUGAGAAAAAGAUGAGUAGAUUUUCUUCAACAGUGCUCAGCCCACACACGCCCCACUGCAGUCCCAGGAAUAGGACUGGCCUGCAGUUUGAGGCAAGCCUGUCUUCUGUACAAAUACCAAAUACCAGAACCUGCUAAUCCCUAAUGGAGUGAAGACAGCUACGUGGGUGUGAUAAUGCCAGGAAAACCUGGGCAACUCCUGCAACUCUGAGGUCAGCUAGGCCUCUCUGGCCCUACCAGAUCCAGCUAAGAGGACUGCAGACCCAUAAGGCCACAGUGAAGUUCAAGUUCCAUACCCUCCAAAGAUUUCUGCAAAUUCCCAGCCCUUAGCCUCCUCCUAGUCCCCUCUGCCCUGGGAAUCCAGAGUGGUGUCCCCUUUACCCACUCAGCUGCCCAGAUGUAAACUAUCAACCCUUUCACUGAUUUGCACAGAAAAAUCCACUCUACCCAGGCACAGCUCUUCCCUGACAUAGCAUUCUCAAUUUACCUCCCACAGAAAGGGCAGAAGGCAAAGGGGUGUUUUGCAAAAAAGGCCUCUGCCAUUUAUUUCAGUUGGGAACAUUUAAUCCAUUCCAGUACUCCAAAAGACAGUCCAAUUUUUCACAUAAAUAAAAUCCUUAUAAGAAAAAUCUCUAGUUAUAUAUGAGGUGAAAAGUACAGAUUUCUUAUUUUAAACACCAGUCAGUUAUUUCAGUAACCGAAGCAGCACCAAAAACAUUCUGAAUCAAAGUUUCUCAUGCACUGUGAGUUUCUCCAGCAAAGUCCAGCAUUCAGGCACCUUCUCUUUAAAGGCAAAACACAGCAAAGGAACAAAAACAAAAAAACAACCACCACCAAAGAUGCUAUUAUGGGGCCUCUCCUGAGUGUAGAAGUGAAAGACGAAGUUCCGUGAAUCACAAUGGCCAACUUUUGUAACUUGCCUGUCAGGGUUUGCUGAGAAAAACCAAGAGGGCAAGAUAUAGGAAUGGGAAGAACAGCUUCCCCACAAUGGCUGGCACUUACCUGGGCCAGGCAUGGUGCUCAGCCUUGUUUUAAAAUUUAAUUCUAUUUCUAUCAAACUUAAUACAUACACGUUUUAAAAAGUCAAAUACUACUAUAAGGCUAGUAAAAAAAUGUAGUGUUCCCCUCCCCAUACCUUCCCCACCCCAAGUCCCAAUUCAGCAAAUACUUUUCAUAUUUACCUCCACUUUUCUGAGUAAAAGACAUACUAUUGAAUCCUGACUUUUCCAUUUUAGACAUAAUCUCCUGCCUUCCUGCUAUGGUUGCUGAGGGUUUUAGAAAGGAUACCUUUACCUCAUCUACUUUCCCUUCUACAUCCUCCCCAUGUAAUCAUGUCACAGGUUUUGUUAAAUCAUUAUUCAAUGAACAUGUUAUUCUCAUUAAGUAAACAUUGUUCAAGCUGCUCCAG